rnacentral:tRNA from 1 species
GCCUGGGUGGCUCAGUCGGUUAAGCGUCUGACUUCCGCUCAGGUCAUGAUCUCGCGGUCCGUGAGUUCGAGCUCCACAUCAGGCU